rnacentral:tRNA from 1 species
GGUGAGGUGGAUGAGUGGUCGAAGUCAGCUCACUGCUAACGAGUCGUACCGAAAGGUACCGCGGGUUCGAAUCCCGCCCUCACCG